UCAGUCCAGUCAAUUAAGAUAGCUGGACAUCACUAGCCUUUGUCCUUUCAAAUCCACCGCCCAGCCUUUAUGAUAGCAUUUUCCAAUGAAAUCUUUUAAUGACUGCUAUCAAUAUCCUCUAACAUCUUCUUGAAUCUUCUUCGUCUGGCUCCCUUGAUCUCUGUCUUUUCCUCUUCUGAUGCUUAUACCUUAGAUGCAGUCCCAACAAUUGUCCUUCUCCUUUUCUUAGCUUUCUUUAUCAAAAAAAAAAAAAGGCCAUUCUUGAAUCUUCUUUAUCUUAUUCUCUUGGUCGUCGGCAUUCCCUCUCCUGAUGAAUAUGCCUUGGAUGCAGCCCCAGUAGAGGCCAUGAUCUCCCUCUCCGUAUCGCAAACAACCAAACCCGAAGCAAAUCUAGAGGUUCUCUUGUUGAAAGCCUCAUCAAAAUAAACUGUUACCCUCGUGCUUCCAUUUGCUUAUAACCUUUGUCAAUGUUGAUUGACCAUAGCCCACAACAGAAAAAGGUGAUGCUAGUCUUUAUUUCCCUGCCUGAAAACCCAGAUAAGCCACUCCUACAAACUUUGAGUGUUAUUAUUGUAUACCCAUGCAAGAUCUAAAUUUGACCAUACUUUUAUUGUUGUAGGACAGUACCUGAAAACGUGGUUGCUAGCUUCAUCGGAGGUGUGACAUCGGGGACAAUGAGCUUCCACUGCAACUUUUUUACUCUUUAGAUUGGAUAGAGUAGGGAUAUAAUUCCAAGGAUUCUCCAAAUUGUAAUUUUAACUUUUUGAGGGAUUUGUAAAUUCCAUAAUUUUCUGUAGAAGUUUCUAUUCUCGGCCUGUAUAAAAUUAUUACUAGGACCCGAAUUAGUCUCUUGUAAGAGUUUAUAGGCACUUCUGACUGAAUACUCUCCUGCCGGUUCACCUCUCCAAACUUGGAAGUCCUCGUAGAUUGUCUCUGCCAAGAAGAUCUAUAGAAUUUUCUUGGCUAUAUCCUCAUUGAAGCUACUUAAAACUAAAUCUGUAUUCCACUUUCUAUUAAUAGCAUCAAUCAAAUCUGAUACUAACUUAA